GGCGCGCUCGCCGAGGAGGUCGUGGUGGGCGACCACGCCGUCAUCGCGGUGCCCGAGGAGCUGCCGUUCCACACCGCGGCGCUGCUC
rnacentral:tRNA from 1 species